GAUCAUUUCACCAAUGUCAAAAAAUGGGAAGGUAUAAUUAAGAAAAAAUGAUUUUCCUCUGUCCUUACUCAUUGAUUAUAUCUAAGCAUUAAAAAAAGGAAGGAAUUGAAGCAAUUAUCUGGAUAAUUCAGGUCUCCCCCCAAAGAUUAGACGUUUCUAAUAAAAACAUAUUGUUUUUGCCUGAAUUACUAAGAUAAUAGCCUUAGUUUCCAUGCUAUUUUUAUGAGUGUGGACCUAUCUGUUGAUGGAAAAUAUUUUGUAACCAUUUAAAAGGUUUUUUAGGUUUUUCUGACAAUAAUGUAUAUAAUUUUUCAUACCUGAACUUAUUGUGCCACGGCUAUGAGCAGCUAAUAAAGAGAACAUGGUUAAAAGAGAUUAAGGUUCAAAUUAAGGUCAGAAAAGAGACUGAUUGAGGAAAACUGGCAUGUUCCAUUGCAUGGCAGUUUAAGUGAGACAGUUUCCCCCUGCAUCAGUCUUAGGUUGAAAAAUUACACUGUUGGGGUUAAUAAAGAGGCCGGGCAUUUGUUUGGACUGAGACUUCAAUUAAAAUGUUAUUUGGGGCAGCCGGAGCUAAUGUCUUGCUUAGAGGUAAACUGAACUGCCUUUAAAGAGGAUGAAAAAAAAAAGAAGAAGAAAAAAAAAAAAAAAAAAAAAAAAAAAAAAAAAAAAAAAAAGACCACCUAAUCUGUCAAAGACCCUGAAUAACUGGCAGAAAGAAUUGUGUUUGCUGGACCUGUGCCCAACGCAGCAGUGAGCAUUCUUAAGGGUUUUAUGACAUCAUCGGAGGCAGCUGAGGUUUUCUGAGUUUUUGAUUGUUGCACUGGGUAAGGGAUCCAGCGUUCAGCUGAGCCUUCUUGGAGACAAAGAAAAAAAAUCUGGUUGGGGUAACAGGCCAAGUUUUUUUUUUUUUUUCUUGUUGUUGUUUUUCAUGCCACCAAAGGGGUGGGACCGGAAAUUCUGGGCCUUAGCCUCACGACUCUAAACCUAGAGACAAAAAUUGAUGAAUACAGUUAAUUGAAUUUCUCAGUGCAUACGAAUUGGCUCACAGGAAACAAAACCCACCAAAGUUUGACUCCAUUUCGCUCCUUUAGGGUGAGUGGAAAUCCACCCUGAAUAAGCUCCUUUUCCUCCGUGGAGAUUCACUGGGCUUGUUUCCUCUGGCCAGCAUCAGGCACACCCUGGUCCAUAAGGCAGAUGUGUUUCCCAACCUUUACGGGAAGGGAGACAGUCACGAAGUGAAAACUGAAUAAAUAUACAGUACACGUGGAUAAGAUGGAAGGAAACAGGGUAGAAAUGGAGGGAAAAAAAACCUCUAUUGCUCUUCCACCUUUUUCUUAAUCCCACGAGCAGCAACUAUUUCGAAGAUCUCAUGAUGAGUGCCCGGCUCGGGAUGCUGAAGAAGGCGGUUAUUGCUAGAUAUAAAAUAUGUGAUUUUCUGCUGGGGAGCUGGGGAGCUGGUCUUGGAGAUAAACAGUCAUGCACAGACAGAGGCAGGAGGGACGGUCAAACCAGCACGGAUUCGAGCCAAAACGAACCUCACCUAGGGAUUUCCAUUGGCAUUGCCAGUCCAGAGAGUGGUUCAAGGAAAGCCUGGACUUGUAUAGAUGGGCAGAACCAGAAGAGGCCCCGGGGGCAGGGAAAGACAGGGCCACCACUGGGGGAGGCGUGGAGCCAGGUGACAGCACAAAAGAAAAGGUGCACUAGGGUCCAGAAGAGAGAAGAGGAACCCAUUCCUGCUGCUCAGAUCCUUCACGUGGUUCAAUUUGUCCAAACCACGUCUAGAGAAUGGACCCAAUUUGUCCGGAUGGCGACUCUCCCUGUCCCAAACGUUCCUUCCUGCCAACUAAAGAAGAUAAUUAUGAGUGCAUGCAUGUCCCUCUCUCCCCAUCUUACCAAAAGGAAAACAAAGCGAAGCACAUAGAAGAUGUUUAAUCGUAAAGAUAUUCUUCAAGACGCUAACCUUGGCUGCAAGAAAAGUGGCAGACAGAGCCUUGCGUCCAAGCCACACAGGGGCAUCACACAACACAAACGGGGACGAUCUGACACUUGGAAAAUGAAAUGCCAGUAAUGAGAUCAUUGCAGUGGGAACCAGGGAGCCGGCCAGCUGAGAAGUAACACAACAUCAUGGGCGUUACGUCUGUCCAAGUCGUGGCAAAAACCUGCCAGGCCCAGAUUGACUUCAUUAGUCAUUUAGACGCGCAGAGAUCACAGAAAAAAAAAAUUCUCCUCCUCCUCCUCCUCCCUGAGAAAGAGCUGAUCAUCCGUACAAAUAGAAACUGGUGAGAACGCCAAUUCUUCAAAGCGUCAAUAUUUCAUUCAGCAGCCAGUUGCAAGUUUGCCUCGGCCAUGAAGAAAGUGGACCGAGCGACCGCACACAAGGUGUGGCUCUAAUCAGCGUGAACAGGGAAUUCGGUUUGAUGCGGAUCCCUAUGGGGUGUUGGGCGAACACACAGUCUACACUGCCCCAGACACAGCCAGGAACUUAGGGAGCAACAAGGCCCGCUGCACACCUGACUUAGCCCAUGGCACGACCCUUCGCCCCUCGUGGCUGCCUGAGCCGGUAGGAUUCUCACUCAGCCAGUAUGUGUGAGGUACUUUCUAGAUGCUGGGCACGGGCUGGGGAUUGGGAAUUCUAUCCCGAACGGGCCAAUCAAAAGUCCUUCAUCUUUAUCAUCCCCAGCUGAUCUUCAGUCUUCUCCGUCCCCUUGCCCAGCUUAACGUUUUCCCAGAGUGGCUGUCACUACCUGACACUGUAUCAUAUCUUUGUUUCCCAUUCAUUGCCUCACUUAUGAAAAUACAAGCGACGUGAUGAGUGCUUUGACAGGCUUACGGUCUGGGCUCGAAGAAUGCGUGUGGGAUGAACAAGGUUUAUGUGCAAAUAACUUAUGCAAUUAUGACAAGCGGAAUAAAAGAAAACUACAGCUGUGGCGAGCACGUUCUCAUGAGGGUUUCUAACCCAGGACAUGAGGGAGGUGCUCCGUGAGCAAAGGACUCUACUAGAGAGAGAGGUCUGUCUGGAGAAGGCGUUGGGUGGGCCUUUCAAAGAGCAGCAGCGACACGUCGAAAGGUGUUCGUGGGCUGGAAACGCCAGGAAACAGGGCCCGUGUCGUGGGGAUGUGAGGAGCGUUUCAAGAGAGGAGGUGGGAGCCGUGGACGGGAGCGUGAUGCUGCCACGUCCUGGAGGACACAUGCAGGAUUUCGGACUUCAUCCUAAGAGCAAUACCAAGAGUUUCAGGCCGUGAUCCGACCGCAAUUCUCAAGUCAUGAGUCUCUGUGAUAAGCACCCAAGUGAGCAUUAUAGUCCGAGCACUCUGAGGUCACCUGGGCAUAAGAAAUAGCUGGAUGGUUUCAGCAUGUGAAGAAGGAGACGAAAGUCUGAAGACUCAGUCAUACGUUUUGAGGACACAGCAGAGGCCCCACACGACAGCAGGCAGCCCGGGGAGCGCGAGAGCAGCAGGAAGAUGGAGCGAGCAUAGCCAGGUGACAGAAAGGCAGGUGCGCAUUCGCGGAAACUCCUCGGGACUGAGAAGCCCCAAGUGAACACAGCUGCUGGUCCCCUUCCGGCUUUGGGCCAUCCCUGCCACAACCUGGACAGACCACCGCCAGGCCUCCCCUGGUGCUCUGCACUCCAGCAGGAAGAGGCCACCUCGGGCUCCCCCGGCCUAGAGGCGACCAUGCCUUCCUGUCAUCCUACCCUCAUUUCACCCUCAUGGCGCCUCUGGACCAACUGCCGGUCUCCUGCCCAGGACCCAGUCAGCACGAAGAUGUGCUGCAUGUGAGGUGCCCGAUACAGAUGUGUCCGAUUCGUAUGGCAGACGGUACUACAAUGUCACUCUUGUCAUACCUUUUUCUGGCACAUGCUACGGCGUGCCUCCUCUGUGCCACACACACAAUCUCACUCUUCACAAUCAUCUCACUUUCACAAUCAUCUCCAAAGGCAGAUGUUGUUAUUACUCCCAAUUUGCAGACCAAGAAACUAAGGCCCGGAGAGGUCCAGUGAACUUGCUUAAGAUUUCUCUCACCAGAUUUCUAUCUGUUCCUCUCCUAAGGUCCUGGUUUGAUUCGUUACUUAUGUCCACUCAGCUCCUCCCCGAAGGCUUCGUCGAUGCCCUAAAUGGCCAUGAAGAUAAGCCUCAGGGCUCCUAAAGUGUUUUGUGUCAAUGUGCAUUUAUAACUAUCCGACCGAAUGUCUUCGCAACCACACGGUGAAUGCCUCGGAUGGGUCCUCUUUAUCUUAUCACCAAGGCUGAGAACCACGUCUGGCAGAUGAUAGGAACAUAUCAGAAUAGGCAGUUGUAAAGGAAUAAGUGUAAUAAUUGUAAAGGAAUAAUCGUUACAGAAUAAAUGGAUGGAUAAAUAAGCACUUUAAAGAAACUUAUGGAGUUCUCAUUGUGGUGCAGCGGAAACAAAUCUGACUAGGAUCCAUGAGGAUGCAGGUUCGAUCCCUGGCCUUGCUCAGUGGGUUAAGGACCUGGUGUUGCUGUGAGUGGUGGUGAAGGUCGCAGAUGCAGCUUGGAUCCCGUGUUGCUGUGGCUGUGGUAUAGGCCAGCAGCUGUAGCUCUGAUUUGACCCCUAGCCUGGGGACUUCCAUAUGUCGCAGGUGAGGCCCUAAAAAGCAAAAACAAACAAACAAACAAAAAAAACACCUCAUUAUGAAAACACAUUAGAGGAGUUCCCUGGUGGCUCAGUGGGUUAAGGAUCCACAUUGUCACCA
rnacentral:lncRNA from 1 species